rnacentral:rRNA from 1 species
UGGGUUGGUAAAUCUCGUGCCAGCCACCGCGGUUAUACAAGGGGCUCAGAUUGAUACUACUCGGCGUAAAGCGUGAUUAAAGAAUAACAACAACUAAAGCCAAACACCCCCUAAGCUGUCAUACGCUAACGGAGGCAGGAGGCCCCACAACGAAAGUAGCUUUAACAACUCUUGAUCUCACGACCAUUAAGAAACAAACCGGGAUUAAUACCCCGUUAUGCUUAGUUGUAAACAAUGAUGGCAACAUACAAAUACCAUCCGCCAGGGGACUACGAGCACUAGCUUAAAACCCAAAGGACUUGGCGGUGCCUCAAACCCACCUAGAGGAGCCUGUUCUAUAACCGAUGAUCCCCGUUAAACCUCACCACUCCUUGUUAAUCCAGCCUAUAUACCGCCGUCGCCAGCUUACCUCAUGAGAGACCAACAGUAAGCUAAAUGAGUAAUACCCAACACGUCAGGUCGAGGUGUAGCAAAUGAAGUGGGAAGAAAUGGGCUACAUUUUCUGACCCAGAAUAUAACGAAAAGUGCCAUGAAAAAGCACAGCUGAAGGUGGUUUAGCAGUAAAGAGAAAACAGAGAGUUCUUUUGAAGCCGGCUUUGAGGCGCGUACACACCGCCC